rnacentral:rRNA from 1 species
AACGCGAAGAACCUUACCUGGGCUUGAACCGCUACGGACCAACGGUAGAAAUAUCGUCUUCCCGCAAGGGACCGUAGUAGAGGUGCUGCAUGGCUGUCGUCAGCUCGUGCCGUGAGGUGUUGGGUUAAGUCCCGCAACGAGCGCAACCCUCAUCCCUAGUUGCCAUCAGGUCAAGCUGGGCACUCUAGUGAAACCGCCCCGGAUAACGGGGAGGAAGGUGGGGAUGACGUCAAGUCCUCAUGGCCUUUAUGUCCAGGGCUACACACGUGCUACAAUGGUCGGUACAAACCGUCGCAAAACUGCAAAGUGGAGCUAAUCGGAAAAAGCCGGCCUCAGUUCGGAUUGGAGUCUGCAACUCGACUCCAUGAAGCUGGAAUCGCUAGUAAUCGCAGAUCAGAACGCUGCGGUGAAUACGUUCCCGGGCCUUGUACACACCGGAGUGC